UGAAGUGCGUUGAAUAGGAGUAGUAAGGUCAAGUAUUUGUGCAGAGAGCUAUGGGUUGGUGUGACAUAGUCAAAUAACAUCCUGAACUCGCCUAGGAGCAAUAAGGUGGAACGGAAAUCUAAUUCUUAGUAAAUCUUAACGGUUAACCUUCGAUAACAGGUUUGUAAUCAUACGAUUGCUACUAAGGUGGAUUCAUAAUGGAAUCAAAAAGAGUGGUACCGCGUUAAGUAAAUGGCUUAGCGUCUCUUGA
rfam:Bacillus cereus subsp. cytotoxis NVH 391-98, complete genome.